rnacentral:rRNA from 1 species
AUUGAACGCUGGCGGCAUGCUUUACACAUGCAAGUCGAACGGCAGCGCGGGCUUCGGCCUGGCGGCGAGUGGCGAACGGGUGAGUAAUGCAUCGGAACGUGCCCAGUAGUGGGGGAUAGCCCGGCGAAAGCCGGAUUAAUACCGCAUACGACCUGAGGGUGAAAGCGGGGGACCGAAAGGCCUCGCGCUAUUGGAGCGGCCGAUGUCGGAUUAGCUAGUUGGUGGGGUAAAGGCUUACCAAGGCGACGAUCCGUAGCUGGUCUGAGAGGACGACCAGCCACACUGGGACUGAGACACGGCCCAGACUCCUACGGGAGGCAGCAGUGGGGAAUUUUGGACAAUGGGGGCAACCCUGAUCCAGCCAUGCGGCGUGCGGGAAGAAGGCCUUCGGGUUGUAAACCGCUUUUGUUCGGGAAGAAAUCCUCUGGGCUAAUACCCCGGGGGGAUGACGGUACCGGAAGAAUAAGCACCGGCUAACUACGUG